GCCAGUAUGGCCUAGUGGUUUGAGAGUUGGACUAUGACUCUGGAGACCAGAGUUCGAAUCCUUGCUCAGCCA
rnacentral:tRNA from 1 species